GACGAACGCUGGCGGCGUGCCUAAUACAUGCAAGUAGAACGCUGAAGAGAGGAGCUUGCUCUUCUUGGAUGAGUUGCGAACGGGUGAGUAACGCGUAGGUAACCUGCCUUGUAGCGGGGGAUAACUAUUGGAAACGAUAGCUAAUACCGCAUAACAAUGGAUGACACAUGUCUUUUAUUUGAAAGGGGCAAUUGCUCCACUACAAGAUGGACCUGCGUUGUAUUAGCUAGUAGGUGAGGUAAUGGCUCACCUAGGCGACGAUACAUAGCCGACCUGAGAGGGUGAUCGGCCACACUGGGACUGGGACACGGCCCAGACUCCUACGGGAAGCAGCAGUAGGGAAUCUUCGGCAAUGGGGGCAACCCUGACCGGACAACGCCGCGUGAGUGAAGAAGGUUUUCGGAUCGUAAAGCUCUGUUGUAAGUCAAGAACGAGUGUGGGAGUGGAAAGUUCACACUGUGACGGUAGCUUACCAGAAAGGGACGGCUAACUACGUG
rnacentral:rRNA from 1 species